UACAGAGGUCCCAAGCGUUGUUCGGAUUCACUGGGCGUAAAGGGUGCGUAGGCGGUCGGGUAAGUCUGGCGUGAAAUCUCCAAGCCUAACUUGGAAACUGCGUUGGAUACUAUCCGGCUCGAGGAAUGGAGGGGAGACUGGAAUACUUGGUGUAGCAGUGAAAUGCGUAGAUAUCAAGUGGAACACCAGUGGCGAAGGCGAGUCUCUGGACAUUACCUGACGCUGAGGCACGAAAGCCAGGGGAGCAAACGGG
rnacentral:rRNA from 1 species